rnacentral:tRNA from 1 species
GUCUCAGUAGCUCAGCCUGGCUAGAGCGCCGGAUUCAUAACCCGGAGGUCGGGAGUUCAAAUCUCCCCUGAGACA